rfam:Nicotiana attenuata strain TT chromosome 6, whole genome shotgun sequence.
AAUGGGGAGCCCAAAGGCCAGUGUCCGGAGCGCGCAGAUACAGAAGCACGCAGCAAACCGCCCACGUUACCGCGAUCCGAACAUUUCACCGGAUCAUUCAAUCGGUAGGAGCGAUGGGUGACAGAGAAUUAGGGUUCGAUUCCGGGGAGGGAGCCUGAGAAACGGCUACCACAUCCAAGGAAGGCAGCAGGCGCGUAAAUUACCCAAUCCUGACACGGGGAGGUGUCGAUU